GGGGGCGAUACGGCUUCGACGGGGACGAGCACGCGAAAGGUUGCAUGCCGAGGCCACCCACCUCGCCAAAAGGGUGAAAAACGAUAGCUGCCAAUAACAGCAAUCUCGCUCUCGCUGCGUAAUUAACGCGCAGUGACGGUGUCCGGGAAGCGCACCCGCCGCGUCUCGUACGCCGACGCCAAAUGCGGGUGUAGCCGUCCGGGGCCUCCGGACCGGAUGGCGAAAUCAAUUCGGGGAUGCCCUGCCGUUGUUUUGCCUCUUCUUGAGGCGGCGGGGCGAGAACUGAGAAGAGGCUGAGCAUGGAGUGGCCUCUCGUGUGACGCUUCCGGACGCGGGUUCGACUCCCGCCGCCUCCACCA
rnacentral:tmRNA from 1 species